GCACGUACUUCAACUCGUACUCCGAAUAGUCCGCCCUGUGCGAUUUCAGUAAGGUUUCGGUAAUGGGCGCAAUACGCACGCCGCCAAAUAAUCGGAUGACGAAACAUCGUGUUUUUGCAAUCUCCUGACGACACCUCGGAGUUGUCAAAGCAUGCGGGAGUACUAAAAAAUACUCAAAUGCACGAGACGUUGUCAACAUUUGCGAGUAAUAUUUGUCAAGAAUGAGAACGACAAACCAGAAAUUUAGAUUCAAGUUUACGACCAGCUGUUUCUAAUUACACGCCAGAAUUCUCAAAACUUGCGGACAAUCAGACAUCACGAACGGUAUGGAAAAAAUGUUUACAGAUUGUUCAUAUUAUAUUUAGAAUUUACUUAAAAAAAUACAGGGACAUAAAAUAUGUAUACCUAUAUAUAUAUAUAUAUAUAUAUAUAGGUAUACAUAUUUUAUAUAUAUAUAGGUAUACAGGUAAUCGGUCAAAAUAUCCAAAUUAAUCGGUUUUUACGAAAAUUAGUAGUUUACAUUUUCUCCAAGUCCCCUCCCCCGAAAUUUAACAUUCUCAACAAAAAAGCACAUUAUCGGUAUAAUAAUUGGCUAGUCGGUGAUCAAUUUUAUGUUCUAAUCCCCUCCAAAAAAAAAAAUGGCCACGCGCCCGUCCGAGUUAUCCUUUAUCGUCGUUUCUCAGGGACUCGGCCGGCGACCGCCUCCCUGUCACUGAUUUCCGCGACAUCGAAGACCUCGGGGACGUCUACGUCACAAUGAUAAAUUAUUACAAGUCUACGCACGGCCAUCUCACUGUACGGUUAUCGUAUUCUAUACAGUGUGCGAUUAUUAAAUUUUCUUUUUUUUUACAUCCCCCACCGUUACGCGAUGAGAACUCGCGACAAAACUUGCACGCAGAUGAACGCGCGUCGCCGCCAUUACGUGCGCAGUACGCCCAUAGGUUGGGGAUACUUCCCGCCGCGCUCGCGGUGCCGCGCGCGAAAAAAAAGCGCUCGCGUGCACCGGGCCUUUGGCUUAAUAAUCGAUGCGCACACAACACCGUUUACCGCCGCCGCCGUAACACCCACAAUAUGCCGGAACGUAAUAUUUUCGUUUACCUGCGUCACCGACCAGUGGUUUUUUUUUUCUUUUUAUCCCGUCGCCAAUAACGUGCGCUACGUUCCGGGUGGCCGCCGACAAUAAUAUUUCAUCUUAUCGUGGCUCAUCGUCACCGACGGUGGACGCUCACGCUGUGUCCUACGUGAACGCGGCGAUAAAAAUUAUCAAACGUAUACAAAUAGAUUGGAUUGUCCAUCGUACGCGACAACAGCAGCGGUACGAGCGAACGAAUGUAAACGAUUGUUGCUCGUUCGCGUUCGCCGCAAAUCGAAUCGUUUUGUCUUUCGCCGCGCGCCAAAGGGACCAGACGUAUUCGGAGCCGGACGUUUAUCGCGAUGACUACAUAUGAUUUUAUGUUGAACAAUUACGAUCUCCCACACACGAUACACAAAUCGGUAAACAGGUAUUAUAAACCAUUCAGUUAUAAUGUACUAAACUAUAUUAAUUAAUAUUGUAUACUAUUAAUAAUACUAUGUAAUAUCGUUUUCUCGCAACCGUGGGCGUGGGUGAUAUAAUUCGUCAAAAACCAAGCCUGUCCUUGUAAAUAAUUGAACAUUUAUUAUGUCCGUUCGAAAUAUUGUAAUCGCCGUCGUCACCGUCGUGCACGCGUGCGGGUACGAAGGAUGUCGUAUACGAUUUUAAAUACUGAGUGGAGCGAUGAAGUCCACGGUUUUUUUACGCUAAACAAAUAUUAUGAAUGCGUAUGCCCAUUUAGUUAUUCUACUAUAAUGUACUGUCGACGAAGCAUCA
rnacentral:lncRNA from 1 species